rnacentral:rRNA from 1 species
UAUCAACUUUCGAUGGUAGUAUAGAGGACUACCAUGGUUAUAACGGGUAACGGGGAAUUAGGGUUCGAUUCCGGAGAGGGGGCCUGAGAAAUGGCCACCACUUCCAAGGAAGGCAGCAGGCGCGCAAAUUACCCAAUCCCAAUACGGGGAGGUAGUGACAAGAAAUACCAAUACAGGCCCAAUGGGACUGUGUUUGGAAUGAGUGUAAUUUAUAAACCUUAUCAAGGAACGAUUGGAGGGCAAGUCUGGUGCCAGCAGCCGCGGUAAUUCCAGCUCCAAUAGUGUAUACUAAAGUUGCUGCAGUUAAAAAGCUCGUAGUUGGAAUUCGGUUAAUGAAUUGAUAGUCUAUAUUUUAUAUAUACGCACUGUUAAUUCAUUUCCUUUUUUUUAGGUUUAACCACUUUUAGUGAUUUUCCUAAAUAUUUUACUUUGAGAAAAUUAGAGUGUUCAAAGCAGGCGUAACUAAGCCUUUGAAUAUAUUAGCAUGGGAUAAUGAAAUAAGACUUUUUGCCUUAUUCUCGUUGGUUCAUAGGGCUAAAGUAAUGAUUAAUAGGGAUAGUUGGGGUCAUUAGUAUUUAAUUGUCAGAGGUGAAAUUCUAAGAUUUAUUAAAGACUAACUACUGCGAAAGCAUUUGACAAGGAUGUUUUCAUUAAUCAAGAACGAAAGUUGGGGGAUCGAAGAUGAUCAGAUACCGUCGUAGUCUCAACCAUAAACUAUGCCGACCAAGGAUUCGGGGGUGUUAAAUGAAUGACUCUCCGGGCACUUAUAGAGAAAUCAUAAGUAUUUGGGUUCCGGGGGGAGUAUGGUCGCAAGGCUGAAACUUAAAGGAAUUGACGGAAGGGCACCACCAGGAGUGGAACUUGCGGUUUAAUUUGACCCAACACGGGGAAACUUACCAGGUCCAGACACAGUAAGGAUUGACAGAUUGAGAGCUCUUUCUUGAUUUUGUGGGUGGUGGUGCAUGGCCGUUUCUAGUUGGUGGAGUGAUUUGUCUGGUUAAUUCCGUUAACGAACGAGACCUUAACCUAUUAAAUAGUAAUACGAACUUGUACUCUUUUGUACAAUUUGUUUGUAAAUGACUUCUUAGAGGGACUCUUCACAUACAGAGUGAAUGGAAGUUUGAGGCAAAAACAGGUCUGUGAUGCCCUUAGAUGUUCUGGGCUACACGCGUGUUACACUGAUAUACUCAACAAGUUAAAACUUUCCUUACCUGGUGAGGUUGGGUAAUCUUUUAAAUGUAUAUCGUGAUGGGGAUUGAUCAUUGUAAUUAUUGAUCAUGAACGAGGAAUUCCUAGUAAGUGCAAGUCAUAAACUUGCGCUGAUUACGUCCCUGCCCUUUGUACACACCGCCCGUCGCUUCUACCGAUGAAUGAUCCGAUGAGGACUUAGGAUGGUCUUGGAUCUUGGUUAUAAAAUGCCAAUCCAUUGUUUAUCAGAAUUCGUUCAAAUCUUAUCAUUUAGAGGAAGGAGAAGUCGUAACAAGGUU